ACGGGGGAGGCAAGCGUUAUCCGGAAUUAUUGGGCGUAAAGCGUCCGCAGGUGGUCAGCCAAGUCUGCCGUCAAAUCAGGUUGCUUAACGACCUAAAGGCGGUGGAAACUGGCAGACUAGAGAGCAGUAGGGGUAGCAGGAAUUCCCAGUGUAGCGGUGAAAUGCGUAGAGAUUGGGAAGAACAUCGGUGGCGAAAGCGUGCUACUGGGCUGUAUCUGACACUCAGGGACGAAAGCUAGGGGAGCGAAAGGGAUUAGAUACCCCUGUAGUCCUAGCCGUAAACGAUGGAUACUAGGCGUGGCUUGUAUCGACCCGAGCCGUGCCGAAGCUAACGCGUUAAGUAUCCCGCCUGGGAGUACGCACGCAAGUGUG
rnacentral:rRNA from 1 species